rnacentral:tRNA from 1 species
GGGGAUAUAGCUUAGCAGCACAGCGCCUGCCUGGUAAGCAGGAGGUCCUGAGUUUGACUCCUGGUACCA